GUCCUUUCCAACAGGUUUCGC
rnacentral:miRNA from 1 species